CCUACGGGAGGCAGCAGUGGGGAAUAUUGGACAAUGGGGGAAACCCUGAUGCAGCGACGCCGCGUGAGUGAAGAAGUAUUUCGGUAUGUAAAGCUCUAUCAGCAGGGAAGAAAAUGACGGUACCUGACUAAGAAGCCCCGGCUAACUACGUGCCAGCAGCCGCGGUAAUA
rnacentral:rRNA from 1 species